ACAACAACAUUAGGACCGUCGGUCUACCGAGCAAUAUCACCCGCUCGGUGGAAGAUCUUUACUUUGUAGCAUGCC
rnacentral:pre_miRNA from 1 species